rnacentral:lncRNA from 1 species
CUCGAAAAUAUAACUUGGUAGUUGAAGUUGAAGUUCUCUUUAGUUUUCAAUGAAAACAGUAUUAGUUGAACUAACUGACUGCUUAAACUCUCUCCAAAAUGCCUCUCAAAAUGCCUAUCUCUCUAUCUCCUUUCCUUUUUUUUUUUCUUUUUUCUUUAUAUUUAUGGCAGAAUGUCUCAGAUCUCUUUAUCCCAUUCUCUAAGUCUUUCAAUCCCCUUAUCUUUGCCGGAUCUUUUGGCCCUAAUGGAUAGGCAAAACUUAAAAAGUGGUCUUCCACUAUUAGUGGUCUAUUAACUAUUCAAUGCCACUUGAAAUUGUCCCUCUCUUUUCCAAAUCCACUAACAUUUUUCUCAAUUAAGCCCCUAGCAGCCUGCCUAUUGAUUAUUGAGGGUCUCAUAUUCCCAAAUUACUGCUUAAACUACGCCUGAAACUACUACCCAUCAGCUGUAACCAAUCCAGCUAAUCAAUUAACUUAAACACAGCAGCUAUAACCAUUUUAACUUAACGAGGAGAAACAAAACGACUAAAUUAAAUCCUAAGCAAUUCACGGGGCAUUACGACUGAAUAUAAACAAAAAAUCAUAUUGGUACUAAUCAUUAAGCUUAACAGAAUGCUAUCAUGUUUCAAAUCAGUUCGUACCCAAACCCAACCCAAAUCGAAUCAGACAUUAAAACCAGGAUGAAGGAUUUACUAAUCAGAACAGCACUU